UGCAAGUCGAGCGAAGCACUUUGCUUAGAUUCUUCGGAUGAAGAGGAUUGUGACUGAGCGGCGGACGGGUGAGUAACGCGUGGGUAACCUGCCUCAUACAGGGGGAUAACAGUUAGAAAUGACUGCUAAUACCGCAUAAGACCACAGCACCGCAUGGUGCGGGGGUAAAAACUCCGGUGGUAUGAGAUGGACCCGCGUCUGAUUAGCUAGUUGGUAAGGUAACGGCUUACCAAGGCGACGAUCAGUAGCCGACCUGAGAGGGUGACCGGCCACAUUGGGACUGAGACACGGCCCAAACUCCUACGGGAGGCAGCAGUGGGGAAUAUUGCACAAUGGGGGAAACCCUGAUGCAGCGACGCCGCGUGAGCGAAGAAGUAUUUCGGUAUGUAAAGCUCUAUCAGCAGGGAAGAAAAUGACGGUACCUGACUAAGAAGCACCGGCUAAAUACGUGCCAGCAGCCGCGGUAAUACGUAUGGUGCAAGCGUUAUCCGGAUUUACUGGGUGUAAAGGGAGCGUAGACGGAUGGGCAAGUCUGAUGUGAAAACCCGGGGCUCAACCCCGGGACUGCAUUGGAAACUGUUCAUCUAGAGUGCUGGAGAGGUAAGUGGAAUUCCUAGUGUAGCGGUGAAAUGCGUAGAUAUUAGGAGGAACACCAGUGGCGAAGGCGGCUUACUGGACAGUAACUGACGUUGAGGCUCGA
rnacentral:rRNA from 1 species